UUGACGGGGCCCGCACAAGCGGUGGAGCAUGUGGUUUAAUCGAAGCAACGCGAAGAACCUUACCAGGUCUUGACAUCCCGAUGCUAUUUCUAGAGAUAGAAAGUUACUUCGGUACAUCGGUGACAGGUGGUGCAUGGUUGUCGUCAGCUCGUGUCGUGAGAUGUUGGGUUAAGUCCCGCAACGAGCGCAACCCCUAUUGUUAGUUGCCAUCAUUCAGUUGGGCACUCUAGCGAGACUGCCGGUAAUAAACCGGAGGAAGGUGGGAUGACGUCAAAUCAUCAUGCCCCUUAUGACCUGGGCUACACACGUGCUACAAUGGUUGGUACAACGAGUUGCGAGUCGGUGACGGCGAGCUAAUCUCUUAAAGCCAAUCUCAGUUCGGAUUGUAGGCUGCAACUCGCCUACAUGAAGUCGGAAUCGCUAGUAAUCGCGGAUCAGCACGCCGCGGUGAAUACGUUCCCGGGCCUU
rnacentral:rRNA from 1 species